rnacentral:tRNA from 1 species
GCCACCGUAGCUCAGCGGUAGAGCAGCCGAUUCGUAAUCGGCAGGUCGACGGUUCAAAUCCGCCCGGUGGCUCCA